UACAGAGGUCUCAAGCGUUGUCCGGAAUCAUUGGGCGUAAAGGGCGCGUAGGUGGCGGGACAAGCGUGCGGUGAAAGCCUGGGGCUCAACCCCGGGUCGGCCGUGCGAACUGUUUUGCUUGAGCACUGUAGAGGCAGGCGGAAUUCCCGGUGUAGCGGUGAAAUGCGCAGAUAUCAGGAGGAACACCCGUGGCGAAAGCGGCUCUCUGGGACGGUACUGACGCUGAGACGCGAAAGCGUGGGGAGCAAACAGG
rnacentral:rRNA from 1 species